UACGUAGGGGGCAAGCGUUGUCCGGAUUUAUUGGGCGUAAAGAGCGUGUAGGCGGCCAGAUAGGUCCGUUGUGAAAACUCGAGGCUCAACCUCGAGACGCCGAUGGAAACCAUCAGACUAGAGUCCGGAAGAGGAGAGUGGAAUUCCUGGUGUAGCGGUGAAAUGCGCAGAUAUCAGGAAGAACACCCGUGGCUAAGGCGGCUCUCUAGUACGGUACUGACGCUGAGACGCGAAAGCGUGGGGAGCGAACAGG
rnacentral:rRNA from 1 species